UAACACAUGCAAGUCGAACGGACCUAGCCCGGUAGUAAUAUUGGGCGACGGUUAGUGGCGAACGGGUGAGUAACGCGUGAGCAACCUGCCUUUCAGAGGGGGAUAACAACUGGAAACAGUUGCUAAUACCGCAUAAUGUAUUAAGUUGGUAUCAUUUGGAUACCAAAGGUUAAAUCCGCUGAGAGAUGGACUCACGUCUGAUUAGCUAGAUGGUAGGGUAAGGGCCUACCAUGGCUGCGAUCAGUAGCCGGUCUGAGAGGAUGAACGGCCACAUUGGGACUGAGACACGGCCCAGACUCCUACGGGAGGCAGCAGUGGGGAAUAUUGGGCAAUGGGCGCAAGCCUGACCCAGCAACGCCGCGUGAAGGAAUAAGGCCUUCGGGUUGUAAACUUCUUUUAUUAGGGACGAAGGGAUGUGACGGUACCUAAUGAAUAAGCCACGGCUAACUACGUGCCAGCAGCCGCGGUAAUACGUAGGUGGCAAGCGUUGUCCGGGAUUUACUGGGUGUAAAGGGCGCGUAGGCGGGAAUGCAAGUCAGAUGUGAAAUCCAUGGGCUCAACCCAUGAACUGCAUUUGAAACUGUGUUUCUUGAGUGAUGGAGAGGCAGGCGGAAUUCCUAGUGUAGCGGUGAAAUACGUAGAUAUUAGGAGGAACACCAGUGGCGAAGGCGGCCUGCUGGACAUCAACCGACGCUGAUGCGCGAAAGCGCGGGGAGCAAACAGGAUUAGAUACCCUGGUAGUCCGCGCCGUAAACGAUGAAUACUAGGUGUGGGGGGACUGACCCCUUCCGUGCCGGAGCAAACGCAAUAAGUAUUCCACCUGGGGACUACGGUCGCAAGACUAAAACUCAAAGGAAUUGACGGGGGCCCACACAAGCAGUGGAUUAUGUGGUUUAAUUCGAAGCAACGCGAAGAACCUUACCGGGGUUUGACAUCCGACUAACGAAGCAGAGAUGCAUUAGGUGCCCUUUCGGGGAAAGUCGAGACAGGUGGUGCAUGGUUGUCGUCAGCUCGUGUCGUGAGAUGUUGGGUUAAGUCCCGCAACGAGCGCAACCCUUGUUGUUAGUUGCUACGUAAGAGCACUCUAACGAGACUGCCGUCGACAAAACGGAGGAAGGUGGGGACGACGUCAAAUCAUCAUGCCCCUUAUACCCCGGGCUACACACGUAAUACAAUGGCGUUUAACAACGGGAAGCGAAGGAGCGAUCCGGAGCGAAUCCCCAAAAGGCGUCUCAGUUCGGAUUGCAGGCUGCAACUCGCCUGCAUGAAGUAGGAAUUGCUAGUAAUCGCGGAUCAGCAUGCCGCGGUGAAUACGUUCCCGGGCCUUGUACACACCGCCCGUCACACCAUGAGAGUCGGGAACACCCGAAGUCGGUAGUCUAACCCGAUAAGGAGGGCGCCGCCGAAGGUGGGCUUGAUAAUUAGGGUG
rnacentral:rRNA from 1 species